UUUGUAACUUGAAACAUAUGCCCAUACAGUUGGAAUGAUACAGAGAAGAUUAGUAUGGCCUACUCAAGGAUGACAAACACAAAUCGAUGCAUGAUAUACUAAU
rnacentral:snRNA from 1 species